rnacentral:rRNA from 1 species
GACAGAGGAUGCAAGCGUUUAUCCGGAAUGAUUGGGCGUAAAGCGUCUGUAGGUGGCUUUUUAAGUCCGCCGUCAAAUCCCCAGGGCUCAACCCUGGACAGGCGGUGGAAACUACCAAGCUGGAGUACGGUAGGGGCAGAGGGAAUUUCCGGUGGAGCGGUGAAAUGCGUAGAGAUCGGAAAGAACACCCAAGGGCGAAGGCACUCUGCUGGGCCGACACUGACACUGAGAGACGAGAGCUAGGGGAGCAAAUGGG